rnacentral:rRNA from 1 species
GACGAACGCUGGCGGCGUGCUUAACACAUGCAAGUCGAGCGGUAAGGCCUGUCGGGGUACGCGAGCGGCGAACGGGUGCGUAAGAAGUGGGUGAUCGGACCGGCACUUCGGGUGAAGCCGGGGACAAUGGGUCUAAUACCGGAGAUGACCUCCUAUCGCUCGGUGGGAGGAGGAGGGAGUAUCGGUGCAGGUUGGGGGCGCGGCCUUUCAGUUUCUUGGUGGGGUAAUGGAGUCGCAAGGCGGCGACGGGUAGCCGCCCUGGGAGGGGGACCAGCCGCACCGGGACUGCGGCACGGCGCAGCCUCCUCCGGGGGGCAGCAGUGGGGAGUAUUGCACAAUGGGGGGAAGCCUGAUGCAGCGGCGCCGCGUGGGGGAUGACGGCCUCCGGGUUGUAAACCUCUUUCAGCCGGGACGAAGCGAAAGUGACGGUACCUGCAGAAGAAGCACCGGCUAACUACGUG